GAAAAGAAGUCUAUGGUCACCCAAAGGCUCCUUCUGGUUGGUUCCUCAGAACGGAUUCACCUUGCGGAAUGGAUGCUAUGAUUGCUCCCAUUUUACUGAGGAGGAAACAGAGGCUGUGAGAAAUUAAGUGACUUGUCCCGCAUCUGAAGCCUCCAGGAUUUGGAUUCCAAUGUUCAGAGCCUCAAGGCCAUCAGUCUUCAUUGUGCCAUCUAGCUGAUGGCACGUACACACCCGGACAUUUCUGUUACACCGCGCGCUUUCAUUCCACUAUUGUCUCAAAAAUUGCCGAGGCCACAACAGUUGUAAUCUAUCUUUUGUCCCGUGUAAUUUGGAGCAGGGGGCCACGGAGGAACAUCUGUAUGGAAGGGCCCGUCGCUCGCCCACUUUGGAGGGCGAGGCUGGUACCGGCAGGAAGGUCAGUUUUCUCA